rnacentral:rRNA from 1 species
CAGUCGCCGCGGGAAUACGUAGGGCGCAAGCGUUAAUCGGAAUUACUGGGCGUAAAGCGUGCGCAGGCGGUUCGGAAAGAAAGAUGUGAAAUCCCAGGGCUCAACCUUGGAACUGCAUUUUUAACUACCGGACUAGAGUAUGUCAGAGGGAGGUGGAAUUCCACGUGUAGCAGUGAAAUGCGUAGAUAUGUGGAGGAACACCGAUGGCGAAGGCAGCCUCCUGGGAUAAUACUGACGCUCAUGCACGAAAGCGUGGGGAGCAAACAGGAUUAGAUACCCCUGUAGUCCCUGUCUCUUAUAC